rnacentral:tRNA from 1 species
GCCCCCAUCGUCUAGUGGCCCAGGACUCCGGCCUUUCACGUCGGCAGCACGGGUUCGAAUCCCGUUGGGGGUA